rnacentral:rRNA from 1 species
CCUACGGGAGACAGCAGUGGGGAAUAUUGGGCAAUGGACGCGAGUCUGACCCAGCAACGCCGCGUGAAGGAAGACGGCUCUCGGGUUGUAAACCUCUUUUUAGGGGGGAGUGCAGAAGACGGUACCCCUUGAAUAAGCUACGGCUAACUACGUGCCAGCAGCCGCGGUAAUACGUAGGUGGCAAGCGUUAUCCGGAUUUACUGGGUGUAACGGGCGUGCAGCCGGAGUGACAAGUCAGAUGUGAAAUCCACGGGCUCAACCCGUGAACUGCAUUUGAAACUGUUUCCCUUGAGUGUCGGUGAGGUAGUCGGAAGUCCUGGUGUAGCGGUGAAAUGCGUAGAUAUAAGGAAGAACACCGAUGGCGAAGGCAGAUUACUGGACGAUAACUGACGGUGAGGCGCGAAAGCGUGGGGAGCAAACAGGAUUAGAUACCCUGGUAGUC